rnacentral:lncRNA from 1 species
CUUUCAUUAGCAGUUUAAAAAAACCACAUACACACUUUUGAAGUAGAAAAGAAAUGAUUUUGACGCUGAUUGCUAUGGGGUAUAGUUUAACUUCCCAGUCUUUCAAAAACAGACAAGGUCAGGAUUUCUUUUACUGCUGUUGAGCUUGUAAAAUAUUUGUUUGUAAAGGAAUCAAAAUAGAUAUAUAAGAAAGAGAUUAGCUGAUGAACUGCUCAUUUAGUUUGUGCAAUAAAAGAUAAGUAUCUGUUAUAUUUAGAGUAAAAAAGGUUCUCCUUUCUAAAGAAACUACCCCCUUAGGCCGGAUGUAAAGGCACUAUUUUCACUUUUAAACAAAAGCAGUAUAAAAAUAUUUGGAAUAGACUGUAGAGAAUUUGAAAUGGGACUGGUAACUAGAAUCUACAAUCAAUCUCUCUUAAACUUCAGCGAGGAGUUCCCGUCUUGGUGCAGCGGAAACGAAAUCUGACUAGAAACCAUGAGGUUACAGGUUCAAUCCCUGGCCUCGCUCAGUGGGUUAAGGAUCCAGCAUUGCCAUGAGCUCUGGUGUAGGUCGCAGAUGUGGCUCAGAUCCCGCAUUACUGUGGCUGUGGUAUAGGCCGGCAGCAGCUCUGAUUGGACCCCUAGGCUGAGAACCUCCAUAUGCUGCAGGUACGGCCCUAAAAAGACAAAAGACCAAAACAAACAAAAAAACUUCAUCGAGAGGGGAGGAAAACAGAAGGUAUUGUUAGCUGAGCCUAAUGGGAAAAUAUAUGUGUUUCCAAGCAAAAUAUGUUACUCAAAGGCCAUGCAAGUUUGUAAAUAGAAAAACAGGUAAAGUCAAGGUCAUGAUUCCAACAUCUAAACUCUUAGAGAUUUUCUACCUGAAGAUAUGGCCUUGAGAAAAUCUUGCCUGCCAGAUACAAUGUGGGUUUUGUGGUUAACAGAUCAAUGAUAUAAUGGAUAUAACAUGUGGGCUGAGGUAUCAUAGAGAAUUCCUAAUUACAUAGUAUCCACAUAAUAUCAAUCUUAAGGAAGAGUCAAAUAACCAUUAUUUAUUCUUUCAAUACCAAAUAAUUCUAGGCUUAUCACAAGAGCAAGCUUUUCAAAACAUUUCUAGCACCCUUGUCUUUUUCCCUCCAAAGCUGCCAUCAAAUACUCUUGGAUAACAAAUUGCUCUUGGACUCCUGGCUUGUCCAUUCUACUAUCACAAGAGAACCCCACACAUUAUUUCCAACUCACAAGAAAUACUAAAAUAGGAGUUCCCACUGUGGCACAGUGGGUUAAGGAUUUGGCGUUGCUGCAGCUGUGGCAUGGGUCACAGCUGUGGCUCAGAUUUGAUCCCUGGCCCAGGAACUUCCAUGUGCUACUGGCAAGGCUGAAAAAAAAAAAAAAAGAUACUAAAAUAAAGUGAAUUUCCAAUCUUGAUAAAUACCAAAAACAUAUUCUUGAAUUUCUUGUAUAUUUGCUAAAUAAAAAUGUUCAUGGAGUCCCCUUGUGGUAUAAGGGGUUAAGGACCUGGUGUUGUUACUGCAGUGGCUCAGGUCACUGCUGUGGCUUGUGUUCCAUCCCUGGCCCAGGAACUUCCAAAUGCCCUGGGUGUGACCCCUCUGCCCACCCCACCCCCACAAAAAAAAUGCUCAUAUACUUACUUAAAAGCAAGGUAGGGUCCGAAUGGUGGCAAAAGGGUAUACUGCACAUUGGGGGCUCAAAUGGCAUGAAUCAACCACAUAGUUGCGAAUGAUAACAAAAAUACCAGCUAGCAGUUUCUAAGCACUUUUUUUUUUUGUCUUUUUGUCUUUAUAGCGCCACACCCGCAGCAUAUGGAGGUUCCCAGGCUAGGGGUCUAAUCGGAGCUGUAGCUGCCAGCCUACACCAGAGCCACAGCAAUGCGAGAUCAGAGCUGUGUCUGCAAACUACACCACAGCUCACAGCAAUGCCAUAUCCCCAACCCACUGAGCGAGGCCAGCGAUGGAACCCACAACCUCAUGGUUCCUAGUCUGCUGCGCCACAACAGGAACUCCAGUUUUUAAGCACUUUUGUUAGUCAGUUAGGAUUACUUAGACCAAGUCAUAGAUAAAACAAAAGCAAAAGGUCAGAGGGAUACAGCAACCUGUACGGAAUCACACUCAGUGGGAUAACUAAAAAAAGGAGCCAUACAUAUCUGAAGAAAUAGGCAUAGGGAAAUUGGAGGAGUCUAGCAGGGGGUCAUUUUGAGGGGACCUAAUGCAGGGUCCUGAAUGUCAAGUGAAGAUGAAUAUCAUACUUUUAUUCUGCAAGUAUUACAGAGCUAUUAAAGGGCUGCUUAAGGAAGCUCAGGAAAAAGGCAUUCCUCAAGAUGAAUUUUCUUAUACCACAAAGCAUCGUAUAUCAGGUAACAUCAAGGCUUUCUUACCUUGUGGGCAAUGCUUAGACCUAUAAUUUAAACAGUUAACUCUUUAUGGUCAGAGUACUGGUUUGGUUUUUGAAAGAUCAAAUCCUAAUGUGUACACACCCAUUUUACAGCACUCUCUCAAGUCAGGUUGUAUUAGAAUAUCUUGCAAGAGAGGCCCAAUUUCUUUUGCUUGCAUUUGUGUAGAUUUGAAUCAUGGAAAGUAUUUGAGAUAAAGCAUUAUAGGAUGUUCCCCUUCAGGUAUUUGCUGCUCCUAUCAAAUUCUAGUAUUCCUGGUGUCAGAAAGUCAGCUUUUCUCUGAGAAAAUACAUUGGAUAUAGACCCUCCCAGGCCUCUUUCUAAACAACAGUGAUUAGAAAAUGGGGUCAUGAGAAUGUGAACACGACUGACUUUGACACAAACCCUCAAACAACUACCAGGAAACUCAAUCACCAUAUGAUAAUGGUCAGUAAUACCAGUAUCAAAAAUGAAUCACUAGUACAUGCUAUGAAUUAUCAAAGCACAAAUUUUAAACUUUAGCUGUUAAAAAAAAAAAUCUUUUGGAUAAGCAUAAUCCUCUAUACCUAGAUUUUUUAUUACUACUGUUAUUAACAGAGAGGUAUGUGUAAUUAAACGAGAAAAUAUGUCCUUCUCCAUUAAGGUUACUUUUAGAAUUCCACAACAGCCAUUAGACAGUCAAAAGUAGCAAUGCUAAAGCCAUUUUGCAAGGAGACUAUGCAUUCGGUUGCAUUAUUCCUGUUUCCCUGACAACCUGCCAGCAUUCUUGACCCAACCAAAUUCCCAACAGUGUUGCAGAACGGGCUUUUAAUAAUGCAAAGGCCUUUCUUUCUUUGGAUGGGAUGAUGUUCUCUUAGAGAGAAUGGAAGCAGCCAUUAACAAUCUGUUCAUCAGUUUUCCUUUCAAUGUCCCAAAUGUGAUUUAACCUUUGCAAACCAAUUCUCUGAUUAUUUUACACUGGAUGCUAGUUAGGACGUACAUUUAUAAUCGUGAUACAAUUGAUGUCCGAGGGCUCUGAAUAGGCAGCUACUUAAAACACAAUGGUUGGCUUUCUUCCACCUACUUGUGUAUCAUUAAUCGAUUUUAAAUAUCCUUUAAGUGUUAUGACUAACAUGAGAAGGGCAAAAUAAUCUUUACUGAGGUAUGUUCAAACAGGUAUUUCAAAACGUAACUGGUUUUUACGUAAUCAUUCAUUCAAGUUAUUUUAAGGCAUUAAUGCAACACAUUUAACUCUAUAUAAUAGAACACUUCAUCUUCAUUCUUUUUCAAGUCCCUGAAACCAGACAAUACUACUCCUGCAUAUUUGUAAAUGGCUAACGCCUAAAGUGAUUUCCAAUUUUUUUUUAACUUUUUACAUUGUGAAUCACUUGCCUCUCUAUUCUCUACAUCUGUGAUAAAAGAGAAACACUAGCUUUCCUUUGGCUCAGCAUUUAUAUUAAAGAGUGUCUAUCACGCCAGCAAUAGGCAAAGUGGUUCCGUUUACUAAAACAUGUACACUAGGUGCUAAUCAAUGACAUUCUAUCGAUUUUUUCCUAGAGAACAAACUAACACAAAGAAUUAUAUACAAAAUAGGGCACUAGGCAAACAGUCAAUAUCUGAAAGGAAAUAUUGUUAUACUAUUGCUGUAUAACUUCCACUGGUUUGUAGCCAUGAAAAUACAAUGAGAGAUUAGCUAAGUAGACAUACGUUUCAGGAAAAAACAAAACAAACUUGCCUUUGACUGUUUUGUUUUAGAUAAGAUUUUAUUAUUUUUUAAUGAGGAAAAUCAAGUGACAUUAAAAAUGUUGUUGUUCCAAUAUUACACCAAAGUGGCAGCACUGAUCAUUUUUAUAUUGCUGUAUAGUAAAUUUAAGACUUCCAAGCUUAAAUUUACUAUAUAGCGCCUUUCUCCCUAGGUUUUUAUCGAAGGUUCAGGUAUGAAUGAGUUAUCUACUUUAUCAAAUAGUAAAAAUGACAACCAACUGCAAGGUAUAUAGAAAGCUACUACUUUCAGGAGAUGAAGUUUCAGAACGCAACAGGCAGGCUGAGUCAAUCUCUUCCUAAAAGAAACCUUUUUUUAAAAAAUGGGAUUGACACUCUAUUUAGACACAGAUUAGUGAAGAUGGUAGUGGAAUGAUUACCUCCUGGCUAUCACUUGUACUGAAAUACAUGUAUCAGCAUAGUCAUACUGAUCACCUAGACUCCUAAAUAUUUGGCAUUCAGUUUGUGCUUCAGGAGUCUGUUACUUUCCUUAAAUCCAUCCACAGCUAGCUCCACCCCACUCCCACCCCCAUCGUAACCCUCAAACAUGGUUCAGCUUCUUUUGUUUUUGCUUUCUUCCAGAAGAUAAUUUUGCUUUGUUUUGUUUUUUGGGGGCCACACCCUUUGCAUAUGGAGGUUCCAGGGCUAGGGAUUGAAUUGGAGCUGCAGCCACUGGCCUAGACCACAGCCACAGCAACUCGGGAUCUGAGCCACGUCUGUGACCCACACCAUAGCUCACGGCAGUGCUGGAUCCUAAAUCCACUGAGGGAGGUCAGGGAUCGAACCUGCGUCCUUAUGGAUGCUAGUCAGAUUCAUUUCUGCUGAGCCAUGACAGGAACUCCCAGAAGAUAAAUUUUUAAAACACUGCUUCUUUUCAUCUCAGCCUCCUCUCAGCUUUAUCACCACACACAUGAGAGAACUUGGUGGGUUCCUCUUGAGGAAGAAGAACCACCCAACUAAAAAUAGCGUCAGAAUCAUUGUGUGCUUAACAAUCAAGAAAAGGGGACAAGUGGCCCUUCUCUAUUUUGGGUACCAGUAGUGUGACCUUCACUUUAGUUCAGGUGAAAAAAAGAUUUAUUGAGCACUAUAUUCAUUCCAGGCAUUAAGUUGGUUCUAGGAGUAUAGAACCACAUGAGAAUAUGCCCAUGUUCCCCAGGAACCUCCUGUAUCAUGUGUGUGAAGUUGUCUGCCCCAAAGCUGGUUCUAACAGCUAACAGAGUUAUACUUAGUUGCCAUCCCAUCUCAAGUGACAUCAAUUUCUAAAGAAAGCACAUUUAGUAACAGAACUUUGUAAAUUAUAUUCCAAUAAAACUAAAAAAAAACAAAAAAAAAAAACCUACGGAAAGAAAAGAAAGCACAUUUGGUAUACAGAGACAAAAUUAUCCUUGUAAAUUCUUUAAAUCAUCCAGGAAAUCCAGUAUACAUCUUUAUACAGUCACUGUCAUAAUGAUUCUAUGUUUGACACUGUGAGGAUCAUAAGUAAGACUCAAGAAAGCAACAAAAACAAAUUUUGUGAAAACAAUGGAUAGUCAGCAGCUUCUUUAUUAUUAAAUUAUUAAAUGAAUUAUUAAAUUAUUAAAAUCUUCACAGUGAGUGAAGAUUUUAAAGAACCCCUAUUUUUUUGCAUGUUUGAUCAAUUCUAUUUUAAUAUAAAAUUCUCAUUUUUUUAAACAAAGGCUGAUUUUGUUGUUCUGAAGCUUAAAAUACGAUCAUAUAUCUAAAAAUGCCUAAAAUUUGGCACACAGCCUGCACCCACAAAUGUUUGCUGAAUUUGAUCUAAAUCUUUAUCAGAUCUACAACUUUUAAAAAUAUGAAGAAUUGGCCGUGUGUUUCUUUGUCCUUCCAAACUGGCGUCACUUACUGUGACCUCACCUUACUAACCAUCACUGUCCUAGGCUUUUGCGCACUGGAUAUGACAGGUCAGAUUCUAUUUUACUCCUCACUGGGAGUUAGAUUCUAAAAUUGGCCCCUUAAGUUAAAUGUGAGUAUGAAGAAAGUCACUGUGAGGAAGAGAAGAAAAAAAAAAAAAGGCCAUGGAGGUUCAGCGAAGAGGGUUUUAGGCUAGACUGAGACCUCAGUGAAGUUUUCAUAGAGCUGAUGAGGCAUACAGAGACUCCUAGAAGAUGUCUAAGUUAGAUGAGCCGAACAGGAGAGGGUAUUCUAAAUAGUGCUAAGUGUAAAGAUACAAACUCAUGAAACUCCACUGUUUGUACAGAAAAACCACAUCUUCUAGGGCCAUUUGCCUAAGAUACAGUUAGGUAAGAACUGGAUCAUGAAGGUCUCUAUGUUCCAUGCUCAGGAGAUUGGCCUUUAAAGAUUUUGAUUAGGUAAAUGCCAUGGUGGGUUUUCACUUGAGUUUUUUUUGUUUGUUUUUUUUUUUUUUUUUAAUUUGAAGGACAAAGUCUAAACGGACUAGAAUGAGAAGUUAAGAAACUAGUUAGGAGAUUAUAAGCCUUGACAGGGCAGUGAGGGCAAGAAAUGGAAAGGAGGAAUGGAAAGAAGAGCUAUUUGGAGCUGAUUUGAAACUUGACAGUUGAUCCAGUUGAAGUGAAGGAGAUGUGGGAGCGUGAUAGCUAAUGCUGUGUCCCGCCAACCAGGCUUGACUAGAGGAGGAUGGGAUUCUCCAAAAGGGGUGGAUAGAAGAGGAUACCACAGGAACUUCCUAUGGGCUGAGAAGAUAUGGCGACCAGGAACUUGGACCUACAAGACUAAGGGACUAUCAGAGAAGAGGCUAAGGUGGGGGCUAUAAACUUGAGAGUAUUCAAACUAUGAGUAAUAAUCAAGACAGAGAGAUUGACAGUGGAAAGUGAGAUCCACAGUGGGUCAAAGACUCCCAGGAAACAACCUAAGGACAACAGCUCAUGCAUUGUUAGAAGACAAGAAAGAAGAGAAACAGAAGAGACAGUCAUCAGAGAGAGUUGAGGCAGACAAUUUGAUGGAUAAACACAGGGGCAGGUAUUUGGCAGGCAGGGUGCCUCAGGAUGACCUGAGACUUGCAGCAUAGCUUCAGUGGGGACAGUGGACACCACAGGUGGGCCACACUGGCCUGAGCAGUGAGGAAGCUGGGACAACUAAUAUAGAUGCUCUUUCAAGAAGCUGAGCUAAGGAAGGGAGAGUAAGUGACAGUUACCAAAGCACAAGGGGGCUCAGAGUUUGCUUUUGUUUGAGGCUGGGGAAAAAAAAAAAAAAAAAA